AUGUAUACCUUCUUGAUGCCUUUGUUCAAGUGGGAACUUACUGAAGUAGCCAUGGUAGAAGAUGUUCGGGAUAAUGAGCAGGCAGGGAUAGAAGAGAGGAGAGGGGGCAGGGUGGUGUUAGUCAUGUCUGGUGGCACCAAGUUCCCUCUGAAAGUGCGGCCCAUGCGCUUCCUGGACAAUUUCAGCAGCGGGCGGCGCGGCACCACCUGGGCAGAGGCCUUUCUGGCCGCAGGCUAUGGGGUCCUAUUCUUGUACAGUGCUCGCUCCGCCUUCCCCUAUACCUGUCGCUUUCCACCUCAGACCUGGCUGGGCCAGCCCACUCAGGCAUGGUGAGCCUAGAAGUCAAGUAGAAUGCACUAGCCUGGCUUUGCCGAGGUUUUGCGGAGCUAUCAGGAGGCAUCGACAGCCGGCACCUUCCUAGCCGUAGAGUUCACCACUUUGGCAGACUAUUUGCAUCUGCUUCAGGCUGCGGCACAAGCACUCAGCAUUCUAGGCCCUUCUGUGAUGUUUUACCUGGCUACGGCCAUGUCAGAUUUCUAUAUUCCUGUCUCUGGAAUGCCUGAACACAAGAUCCAGUCACCUGGGGGCCCACUGCAGAUAACUAUGAAGAUGGUGCCAAAAAUGCUUUCUCCUUUAGUUAAAGAUUGGGCUUCCAAAGCAUAUAUAAUAUCCUUUAAAUUGGAGACUGACCCUUCCAUUGUCAUUAGUCGUGCUCAGAACACUUUGGAAGUUUAUCAGCAUCAAGUGGUGGUGACUAAUAUCCUUGAGUCAAUACAGUCUUUUGUAGUUAUUGUAACCAAAGAUUCAGAAACCAAGUUAUUGCUAUCAGAGGAAGUAGAAAAAGGCAUAGUAAUAGAACAGAAGAUCGUAGAUAAUCUUCGGUCUCAACACACAGCUUUUGAUGAAAUAAACAAAAGCCUCGGGCAUGCGGCGCAGACGUCACAGCCUUCACCGUCCGUCCACUUUCCGUUUUGCUUUCGCUCGCGGGAGGCGCCCCUCGCCGGGCCCCGCGGCGCCAGCUGA